AGUGAACGCUGGCGGUAGGCCUAACACAUGCAAGUCGAACGGCAGCACAGUAAGAGCUUGCUCUUACGGGUGGCGAGUGGCGGACGGGUGAGGAAUACAUCGGAAUCUACUUUUUCGUGGGGGAUAACGUAGGGAAACUUACGCUAAUACCGCAUACGCCCUACGGGUGAAAGCAGGGGAUCUUCAGACCUUGCGCGAUUGAAUGAGCCGAUGUCGGAUUAGCUAGUUGGCGGGGUAAAGGCCCACCAAGGCGACGAUCCGUCGCUGGUCUGAGAGGAUGAUCAGCCACACUGGAACUGAGACACGGUCCAGACUCCUACGGGAGGCAGCAGUGGGGAAUAUUGGACAAUGGGCGCAAGCCUGAUCCAGCCAUACCGCGUGGGUGAAGAAGGCCUUCGGGUUGUAAAGCCCUUUUGUUGGGAAAGAAAAGCAGCAGGUUAAUACCCCGCUGUUCUGACGGUACCCAAAGAAUAAGCACCGGCUAACUUCGUG
rnacentral:rRNA from 1 species